rnacentral:rRNA from 1 species
UACGUAGGGGGCAAGCGUUGUCCGGAUUUAUUGGGCGUAAAGAGCGUGUAGGCGGUUUGGUAGGUCCGCUGUGAAAACUCGAGGCUCAACCUCGAGACGCCGGUGGAAACCAUCAGACUAGAGUCCGGAAGAGGAGAGUGGAAUUCCUGGUGUAGCGGUGAAAUGCGUAGAUAUCAGGAGGAACACCGGUGGUGUAAACGGCUUUCUGGACCAUAACUGACGCUGAGGCACGAAAGCGUGGGUAGCAAACAGG